UACGGAGGGUGCGAGCGUUGUCCGGAAUCACUGGGCGUAAAGGGCGCGUAGGCGGCGCGGGAAGUCAUCGGUGAAAGUUCAGGGCUCAACUCUGAAUCGGCCGGUGAUACUCUCGUGCUUGAGCACUGUAGAGGCAGGUGGAAUUCCGGGUGUAGCGGUGGAAUGCGUAGAGAUCCGGAAGAACACCGGUGGCGAAGGCGGCCUGCUGGGCAGUAGCUGACGCUGAUGCGCGACAGCGUGGGGAGCAAACAGG
rnacentral:rRNA from 2 species